rnacentral:rRNA from 1 species
UAACGAUACGGGACUCAUCCGAGGCCCCGUAAUCGGAAUGAGUACACUUUAAAUCCUUUAACGAGGACCCAUUGGAGGGCAAGUCUGGUGCCAGCAGCCGCGGUAAUUCCAGCUCCAAUAGCGUAUAUUAAAGUUGUUGCGGUUAAAAAGCUCGUAGUUGAAUCUGUGUGCCACGCUGUCGGUUCAUCGCUCGCGAUGUUUAACUGACAUGAUUGUGGGACGUCCUACCGGUGGGCUUGCCUCGCGUAAGCCCAGUUAUAUCCCAUCGCGGUGCUCUUCAUCGAGUGUCGAGGUGGGCCGGUACGUUUACUUUGAACAAAUUAGAGUGCUCAAAGCAGGCUACUUUCGCCUGAAUAUAUGUGCAUGGAAUAAUGGAAUAGGACCUCGGUUCUAUUUUGUUGGUUUUCGGAACCCCGAGGUAAUGAUUAAUAGGGACAGAUGGGGGCAUUCGUAUUGCGACGUUAGAGGUGAAAUUCUUGGAUCGUCGCAAGACGAACAGAAGCGAAAGCAUUUGCCAAAAAUGUUUUCAUUAAUCAAGAACGAAAGUUAGAGGUUCGAAGGCGAUCAGAUACCGCCCUAGUUCUAACCAUAAACGAUGCCAGCUAGCGAUCCGCCGAAGUUCCUCCGAUGACUCGGCGGGCAGCUUCCGGGAAACCAAAGCUUUUGGGUUCCGGGGGAAGUAUGGUUGCAAAGCUGAAACUUAAAGGAAUUGACGGAAGGGCACCACCAGGAGUGGAGCCUGCGGCUUAAUUUGACUCAACAC